rnacentral:rRNA from 1 species
GGCCGCAGUAUAUUGACUGUGCGAAGGUAGCAUAAUAAUUAGUCUUUUAAUUAAAGGCUUGUAUGAAUGGUUAAAUGAAGUGAAUACUGUUUUAUAUUAUAUUUUUGAAUUUAGAUUUUAAGUAAAAAUACUUAAAUUAUAUUAAGGGACGAGAAGACCCUAUAGAGUUUAAUAAAUGUAAUUUUAUAUUGAGUUAAUAAUUAUUUUUUUUUGAUUUUUUAUGAAAUUUAUUUAAUUGGGGUGAUUAAAAGAUAUAAUAAACUCUUUUUUAUAUUUAAUAUUUAUAAAUAGUAAUGAGAUCCAUUUUUUGUGAUUUAAAGAUUAAAUUACCUUAGGGAUAACAGCAUAA